rnacentral:rRNA from 1 species
UACGUAGGGGGCUAGCGUUGUCCGGAAUCAUUGGGCGUAAAGAGCGCGUAGGCGGCCAGAUAAGUCCGGUGUGAAAGUCAAAGGCUCAACCUUUGAAUGCCGCUGGAAACUGUCUGGCUAGAGUCCGGGAGGGGCGAGUGGAAUUCCUGGUGUAGCGGUGAAAUGCGCAGAUAUCAGGAGGAACACCAAUGGCGAAGGCAGCUCGCUGGAACGGUACUGACGCUGAGGCGCGAAGGUCAGGGGAGCAAACGGG